UGACCUCAAAUCGGGUGAGACUACCCGCUGAACUUWA
rnacentral:rRNA from 1 species